rnacentral:ncRNA from 1 species
CAUGCAAGUAUCUGCCAACCAGUGAAAAUGCCCUUCUACUCGCUCGCACAAGCGAUCCCAAAGGAGCUGGUAUCAAGCACACUUUAAGUAGCUCAAAACACCUUGCCAAGCCACACCCCCACGGGAUACAGCAGUAAUAAAAAUUAAGCAAUAAACGAAAGUUUGACUAAGCCAUGCUGACAAAGGGUUGGUCAAUCUCGUGCCAGCCACCGCGGUCAUACGAUUAACCCUAAUUAAUGAUUAAACGGCGUAAAGUGUGGUUAAAACAAGUAUAAUAAUGAAGUUAAACUAGUUCUCAGCUGUAAAAAGCUAAAGGUCUAAGGUUAUUAAACAACUAACGUAAUUUCACUAUAAAUGAACCCACGAUAGCUAAGACACAAACUGGGAUUAGAUACCCCACUAUGCUUAGCCGUAAACUCUUGAUAAUUAGUAACAAAAAUAUCCGCCAGAGAACUACAAGCCAAUGCUUAAAACUCAAAGGACUUGGCGGUGCUUUAUACCCCCUAGAGGAGCCUGUUACAUAAUCGAUAUACCCCGAUAAACCCCACCAUCACUUGCUAAAUCAGUCUAUAUACCGCCAUCUUCAGCAAACCCUUAAAAGGAACUAUAGUAAGCUUAAACGUACUCACAAAAACGUUAGGUCAAGGUGUAACCUAUGUGAUGGACCAUAAUGGGCUACAUUUUCUUUUCCAGACCACCCACGGACUCUCAAAUGAAAUUAAUGAGAUAAAGGAGGAUUUAGUAGUAAGUCAGGAGUAGAGAGCCUGACUGAAUCUGGCUAUGAAGCACGCACACACCGCCCGUCACCCUCCUCAAGUAUUUUAGACCCAUAAUCAUAUUUAUAUAUAACAAAUAUGAGAGGAGACAAGUCGUAACAAGGUAAGCAUACUGGAAAGUGUGCUUGGAAUAUCCAAAGUGUAGCUUAAAUUAAAGCACCUGGCCUACACCCAGGAGAUUCCACCACCAUGGCCACUUUGAACUAGACCUAGCCCUAGCACAAACAAACUUAACAACACACCAACAUGAAACAAAACAUUUAAUCAGUAAAGUAUAGGAGAUAGAAAUACCACCCUAGAAGCUAUAGAAUAAGUACCGUAAGGGAAAGAUGAAAGAUACCUUAUAGUGAAGAACAGCAGAGACUAACCCUCAUACCUUUUGCAUAAUGAAUUAACCAGAAAUCCUUUGACGAAGUGAUCUUAAGCCAAAAACCCCGAAACCAGACGAGCUACUUAUGAACAAUUUGUCAGAAUGAACUCCUCUAUGUGGCAAAAUAGUGAGAUGAUUUAUAAGUAGAGGUGAAAAGCCAACCGAGCCUGGAGAUAGCUGGUUGUCCAAAAAACGAAUUUAAGUUCAACUUAAAGCCCUGCCUAAAAAGACUACCGAACUAAACUGCAGGCUUUAAUGUAAUUCAAUAGAGGUACAGCUCUAUUGAACUAGGAUACAACCUGGGAAGGAGAGUAAAUAUGAUAACUCACAUAGUUGGCCUAAAAGCAGCCAUCAAUUAAGAAAGCGUUAAAGCUCAACCUCUAAACCAUCAUUCAAUCCCAAGAACAAGUGAUAAACUCCCUUUUUCGUAUUGGACUACUCUAUUUUUAAAUAGAUGAAAUACUGUUAAUAUGAGUAACAAGAAUUCAUUCUCCGCGCGUAUGUUUAUAUCAGAACGGAUGCCCACUGAUAAUUAACGACCUAGUACUAAUACUCCACACAUAAAUAAUUUACUUAACAAACUCGUUAGCCCGACACAGGAACGCAGCCCGGAAAGAUUAAAAGAAGAAGAAGGAACUCGGCAAACAUGAACUCCGCCUGUUUACCAAAAACAUCACCUCUAGCAUUACUAGUAUUAGAGGCACUGCCUGCCCAGUGACAUUAGUUAAACGGCCGCGGUACUCUGACCGUGCAAAGGUAGCAUAAUCAUUUGUUCUUUAAUUAAGGACUAGAAUGAACGGCAAGACGAGAUUUCAACUGUCUCCUUCCUCUAAUCAGUGAAAUUGACCUCCCCGUGAAGAGGCGGGGAUAAACCUAUAAGACGAGAAGACCCUAUGGAGCUUUAAU